CUCACGCCCCGCCCGCACUCUACCACAGCUAUAAGCUCUUGGUCCCUUGAUCGGUCUAUCCUGAGGUAAGCAACCCCAGUCCACCGGUCCCCUCAGGGCCCGCCCGCCGCGCAUCUGCCCUUCUCUUGACUCCGCCCUGCAUCUGUCCGGACCCGCCUCGCGUCUGAGCUGACCCUCUCUACGCGUCUGUGAGUCAGUCCCUCCGGACCUGCCACGAGCUUCAAGCUUCUGAAAUCACCGCGCCUCACUCGGUUACCUUCAUCACCAUCUUCAGUGUGGGGCAACUCCAAGUUUGGAACUCUGGUUGGCCAGGUGUCCGGUUUCAACUGCC
rnacentral:lncRNA from 1 species